UUUGUCCUUCAGCUAUGGUGUUACUCUGCUGGAAUAAAACCUUGCAAAAGAGCCUUUCUUGCCUCUAUCGCUGAGCCAGCUGCAGGUAUUUCUCUGGGGGCGGCUGACAACCCUCGAGGCUUCGAGGACCAGCCAAUUCAGCCAGACCUCCUCUGAGAUUUUUUUUCUGGCACACUGAGGUGUUCUUUCCAGGUGCUACAGCUGAGUUGUCAGAAACCCAGGACAUCCCUCUGGAUGCCCUGGAUGGCUCAAAAUCUUGGCAGGGGCUCGGAGACCCUGGCAGGAAGCCAAAGACACCUGGGAAUUUGAUCUCAACCCAUGAAGCAAAUUACCAACUCUAUAUGAAGCAUUGCAAGUCACAAAAGUUUAGAUAACAUAACAGUAGUUGUCACAGGGUGAAAGGUGGAAUUUUGAAGAAUUUUACUAUGGGGGUCUAGGGGGACAAAAUGGAGGGAUCUGGGCGUUGUCCUGUUCUUCUCCCUUCUUCUUCCUAGCCUCCAUCUUCUUGGUGAUGGUGGCAUUUUGGGAUUGGUUUAGAAUAGAAAGUCACUGUCUA